UGUGGUGGUGCUACGUUUGUUCUGAUGAAGGUUAAUGGCUCCAGUAGAUGUGAAAGUUCAGGAGCCGUUUGAGGGAUACCAGGCUAAGUCGGUACCCAAAGAUGGUUUGGUCUUGGGGUCUCAGCAAAGAUGGAGGAAAGAUGAAGAGAGUCCCCUUUCUCGUUCUGUGUCUGUGGGUUUCCUUCUUCAUCCCUCCCUGAUCCUCUUUGCUCUUGUCAGUAGUGCACACUGUAGCGGCAAACAGUGAAGGCAUUCAGUCUUCUUCCAAGCUAUUAGUCCCUAAGAACAUGUGUGUCUUGGAAACCCUCUCCACCUGGGCUGUGUCAUCCCUCUGCCACUGGACUGAGGUAGGACGGCCCUUGGUUCUUGAAGAAACCCAUCUUGUGCCAAAUGGAUUCCCUCUUCAAUCUCUUACCCUCCCAGAGAGUUUCCUGCAGAAGAAGGCGGCAGCCUAAUGGAACAAGUAGCUCAUUCAUGGGAUGGGAAAAGGAUGUUCCCAAGUUCCCCAGCAAAAUCAGCUGGGUUUGCUUGGUGUUUUCAUCCUAUGUGGGACGGUGCUUGGGCCUGGUCAGGGAGCUUCAGUCAGUGCAGAAGGCACUGGCUGGGAUGCUCACUGGGACAUGUAGUGGUGUCCACGUUCACCCUGUGCUAAAAGAGCAGACCUGGAUGCCUGACCUUUCCAAGACUAUCAGAAUAUCAGCAAGUAACCCCUAGAGGGCUGGUCUCAUCAGUGGUCACAUCUGCCCUCUAUUCAGGGGUGGAAAAUUGGGUCUCUUUCAUACACCCCCUGAAAACCCAGCUGUUCACUCAGGCAUUCCCUGAGACUGGCUUGUCACUGAGUUAGUCACACUGUUUUGUGUUAUUGCUUCCAUACAACUCACCACAAUUGUGUUGCAUUGGUUUGUUUCAAAAAUUGAAUUAAAUGUGAUUUUAAGUGUGAUUUAACAAGUUCAUGGAAAAACAGCAGAGGGAUUUAAACAUAUUUGUUGGCACACAUAGUGUAGGCACAAAGACACUGCCUGAAGCAUGGAUGGCAAUUGCCAGAAAAAUGUGCUCCAGGCAAGAGUGGGAGGAUGGAAAACUUGGGGGGGUGGGUGGGCAAUUGGGCCCUUGUUCAUCUGUUGGGACACUUGUUCAGCAAGGUUCUUGGUCCAAAUGGGGAGGGGCAGCCCUGGGGAUGAGGAUUGCUGACCUCAUUGUUGUUCAGCCAAUCCCUCAGAAUUUCUGGCUGCUGGGACUUUGUGAUGUCACAAGCCCCCUCAGCCAAUGCCAAAAGGGCCUAUGGCAACUUGAGGAUGGGUGAAAAUUCAUUUUUGUUUCAUUAUAUAAAAUGUUUUACCAAAAGUAACAAGUGUCUUUGCAUUUGGGAUGGAAAGAAGCUGCAAUUAGAAUAACCUGAAUGUGGAAGAAAUGGAAACUGUCAGUUUUGUGCUUCCUGGUGAAUGAUUUUGGUGCAUACAUCUCAAAACACCAAAUCUGAAUCCCUGUGUGAAGGACCAGCUAGGUCCCAGUUAAGGUUGCCUUUUCUUAUUUCUCUGACAGGCUUCUCAUUUCUAAUAGCAAUAUGGCAGGAAGCCGGGACUCCAUGCUUCUUCUUUUUGGUAGGACAGAGAAGUGAUAAUUUCAUUUCAGUCUCCAAGUUAUUUGUGUUUGAGAUGGAAUGAUUAAGAUUUCAAAUAGUCAAAUACUGGACAAAGUGAAACUGACAGAUUAAGGCAUCCUUUCUCCUCAACCACCACCACCUCUACAAAUCCUACAGUAAUACUAUUUGUCACAACAAACUCAAACUGGCUUAUCUAAUUCUAGGUUCGGAUGAACUUCUAUCACAGUGUAAUCAUGGUGGAAAGGUGGUCCUGUCUUGACUUGCUGUCAAUUGGCUUCAUCAUCAGAUUGGCACACCAUGAUCCAACCCAAUAGUAGAGAGGAGCUGCAGGAGGCAUGAACAACCUUGCAGCUUGGGGGCCAGUGACAGCUUCCAGAGCAUCCUAGCAGUUUCAUUCUCUUAAUGGUGAGACUAUAACUGCUAGGACAAUUGUAAUCAAAGGUGCUUGCAUCUUACAUUAAAGCUGCAUUUGGCCUUUUAGGACCACCUCUGCAUUUUUCCCCCUUUCUGUUUUUGUGCCACAGCAGCAACUGGGCAGAAUGGCGGUGCUCUUAAAGUCAUGAGCAGGGGUCCUCAAACUUUUUCACCAGAGGGCCAGUUGAAACCUGCUGGUGCUGGGCGCAGGCCGGAAAGGUGGUGCCGGCGGUGCAUAUGGGCUGGCAUGGGGGCGGGGUGCUCGGCGAGGCAAAGUGAGGUGAUGUGAGGUACGGGCAGGUGCAGCAAGGCGAGGUGCAGGCAGGUGGGUGCAUGCAGUGAGGUGGGUGCACGAGGCAGCGGCUUGCUCGCUUCGAGAUUGUUUUUGGGGGUGUUGAUUCUGUAACUUUUUUUUUCAGUUUACCUUACCUUAUGAUUUUAAUCAGAGCAAUAGACUGGAAAUCUUCAUGCUCACCUGUCAUUCAGAGGUAGAAAUGCUCUCAAAGAUGAUUUAUGAGUUUGAUAAAACUAGAGCAGCAUUUGGCUUUCUGCUGCUCCCACUUUACACUGGGACCACAGCACAGCAGGAGAGGAGAACAGACUGAAAUUCCCCUCCCAUCCACAGCUGCUAAUGCGCUUCCAGGAAUUUAGUGUGAGUGGAAAGAUUCCAUUGGGCAGGAAACACCGAUCCCGCGCUGCAAGAACGACUUCCGCCCACCUCCAGCAGCACGCCGCUCCAUCGCGCUGGAGGAAAGAGCCGCCGCGUGUGCAAGCAGAGGCAAGCAGACGCAUGUGGCCAUGACGUCGACGGAAGCCAGCUCCAGCGGCCAGCGCAGGCGCACGCGGCGCCGCAGCACGUGGCCCGCCGCCCAAGUUCAUAUAUGGCUCUGCACCAGUGAUGAAUUACAAAGCCCCGGGCCUGACCUUCUGCAACAGGACUCCAAGGGAGUCCCUCCAGUAUGCAGGGAUUCUCUCUUUGCUGCUGCUUUUCCGGUGGACAUGGAUUGGGACAGUCGUUAUGGAUAAUGACAAUGGAGAACGAUUCCUCCAGAUGGUGGUCCCACUGUUUUCUGAGAGUGGUAUUUGCUUUGAUUUCAUUGAAAAAAUCCCUCCACCUGCUCUUGGCAGGGACAUAAGCACCUUUACAGAGAAGGGGGCAAAGAUACGUGAUACUAUUCAGGUCAGGACAGCAAAUGUAUUGGUGGCCAAUGGAGAAUCCUAUUCCAUGGCAUUUUUUAGAUUCUUACCAUACCUAUCAGAACAACAACAUGGGCCAAAUACACCAAUCGGCAAAGUAAAGAUUGUGACAGCUCAGGUGGAGCUCACAUCAUUUUUUUUCAAAGGAAUUGGAACACAGACUUUUUCCAUGGCGCACUGUCUUUCAGAAUUCAAUCCAAUGAAGUCCCAGGAUUUGAACAAUUCCUUAAUGCACAAGACCCUUCCAGUCCAAAAGGAGAUGGUUUCAUUAGGUCUUUCUGGCAACAGGCCUUCAGCUGCGCAUUCCCAGAUCAAUUUCUGGACAAUUUAGAUGGGGAUAUUUGCAAUGGGGAUGAGAAGCUGGAGCAUCUUCCUGGGUCAUUUUUUGAAAUGAGUUUUACUGGCCACAGCUACAAUGUCUAUAAUGCUGUCCAUGCGAUGGCCCAUGCCUUGCAUGCCACGUCUUUCUCUCGUCUGAAGAACAGGGAAAUGGUGACCAGUGGGGGACCUAUGGUUCAGAGUCAUCUACAAUGGCAGGUAAUUGAUUGAAUAGACUCAUGUGGGAGAGAACCACAGCUUUGUAUAUUAAAAAAUCCAUGUAAAAUAAUGAAACUCAUUCACUUUUUAUUUGAACUAAAUGAUCAA